ensembl:lncRNA
CUUCAUAAAACAUCCUCCACCAACAAGCAGCGACAGGUCGCCAUGGUGGGGCAUCGUGAGUGUGUGCAAGAGGGAAGGCAUUUCCAUGGUGAUCGGCGGCUGGCUGACCUGCAUUUCAAAUACAAACGCAUGCAUCUAUUCUGAUAUAACCUACAUUUCCUGGGAAAGGAUCCUGGCCUCUUCUUCCCUGGAAUCACGAAGCUGUCACUGCAGUCUUCAAUGAAUCACACACAGCACGAGCAGUACGGCUGGUGGCAUUGUCAUGCUGGAGGGUCAUGUCAGGAUGAGCCUGGGGUACCACAUGAGGGAGGAGGAUGUCUUCCCUGUAACGCACAGUGUUGAGAUAGCCUGUAAUUACAACAAGCUCAGUUCGAUGAUGCUGUGACACACCGUCCCAGACCAUGACGGACCCUCCACCUCCAAAUCGAUCCCGCUCCAGAGUACAGGCCUCGGUGUAACGCUCAUUCCUUCGACGAUAAACGCGAAUUCGACCAUCGCCCAUGGAGAGACAAAACCGCGACUCGUCAGUGAAGAGCAUUUUUUGCCAGUCCUGUCUGGUCCAGCAACGAUUGGCGGUGAUGUCUGGUGAGGACCAGCCUUUACAACAGGCUUACAAGCCCUCAGUCCAGCCUCUCUCAGUCUGAGCAGUGAUGGAGGGAUUGU